CAUUUGCAGUAGGAAGACCUGUAAAAACAGGUCUGGGUAAAAUCAGUGGAGUUUCCCUUUAACAGUUACGGAGGCUAGGUAGGAGAGGGGGCGGGACUUCGGCUCUUUGUGGCAACAAUUAACGACAAUUAAGCAAACCUCCCACCAAUGCAGACUUUGUGAAGAUGUAAACAGUUUAAUUGGCAAUACAGUGAUUUCCGCUUAAAAGCUUUUGACAGUGGUGAAGUUAGAAAUGGUCCAGCAGAAAAAAAUAAUCGGUAAAUUCCCCCAAAAAUCGAAGUGGAAAGCAAUGAAACACCUGAUGCUAAAAGCAGACGAGGACGUUAGCAUGCUUACCCACCAGACAGCUAGCUAACUUCCCCAUCAUUAAGUUGGGAGUAACUUACUGCUAUAUUGGUAACUUUGAUGUAGAGAAACAUAAUUUCCUUGGACAAGAAAAAAAGAGGCUUGCCGUGGUUUCCAAAGGUGGCAACUAUGGAUGCAUUUGCGUAUCCCUGAUAACUAACAUUAUAUUGUUCUUAAUAAGGAACUCACAAAGAUUUAACUAUCGGAAGAAUGGCGCACUUUAACAUUAAAGACGGUGUCGAGGUACUAAGGAGCACAGACAAGUUGUUAAAGACAUGAAGGGAGAAGGUACACGAUAAUAUGACCAGAGGCCAAGAAUUCAUCUGACCUGAGGGAGACGUUUCAACUUAAAGAACUAUGCUGAAAGAUGAAGAAGAAGACAUGUCCCUAUUGGCUAGCCUUGAUCGGAGUGACAGCUUGGCAACUGUUGGCAGGCAGGAGAUGAGCCGGAGCGGAGAAGAUGGAAAAUAAUUGCACAGAGCCUAUUCAGUUGAAUGGAUCAUCAUGUGCAGCAGGCAAAGUUCUAUACAUCCAUCUUGUGGCCAUGCUGUUUCAGAGUGGCCAUUACAGCAUGAUGCAGGUGAAGGCGGUACCACCAACUAUGGCUUGCACAAGCUCUCUACAAACACGGCAUCGGCAACGAACACAGAAUGCACAACAUUCACAGGACCUCAUGAUAAUAGGCUCGUCGGGACACAGAGAAAGGAGCGAGACGCUUGUCAGAGUGAAUACAUCCGCGCCUGACCCGAGGGAGAUGGCUCAGUGCACGACACAUCAGUUACAGGACACCGAGAGACCCUCUCCCGCCUCCUCCCUUCUCGCAGGCUAAUGGUUGUCAAGUUAGAGAGGGCCUGUGCUCUUGUCUGUACCAGGCCUGUUGUCACGUGAAAUCCAUUGGGCGGUCGAUUGAUAAGGCAGGAGGCGAAGUGAGGCAGAAGCAGGGGAAGAAAAGAAGCUUUUUAUCUCCCAACUGUACUGUACUCUCCAUAAGGACUUGUUAAAACAUACUGAAGUAGAGUGGAAAAUUGAUGGAGAUGUCUUACAUUAUUAUUGUACUUCUGAGCCAUGGGUUGUAAGUUUUUAUUCUGAAAUGGCAAGAAAAUUGAAAAUAGUCUCUUGUGUAAUCCAAAACAUGUCAAAUGGAAGCUCUCUUCUGUCCGUAAAGAUACAAGAUAUAAGGUUGUGUUGAGUUUGGUAAAACGUCCUCAGAAAUGGUCAUAGAUCGAUAUUACUUCCAAAACCCACCAAUGAAAGUAUUUCAGCUUACACUUGAAGGGCAUUACUAUGAUAGCCAAUGGCUACCUAAAUACUACUAUUCUCAAAUACAGUUUUCCCUUAAUUCACUGAUAAUCUGUUCAUCAUUUAACUUGUUUACUCUUUUUCUCUCAUUGCCUAUGUCUUCCAAAAUUUCAAAAAUGUCUUACAAAUCUUAUUUCUCAAGACUUGACACUGCUACAAACUGUGGAAGAUGUGUUAGCUUCAGUGACAGCACACUGAGUCAUACUGUGGGUUUCUUAAUUAGAUUAAUUUGCAGGCAAUUUACUGGGGAGCCACUGGAUAGUUUAGAACCAAUUCAUGUGCUAUUAAUUUUCUGCUUCUUUUUUUAUUUAUUAUAUUUUUUGCAUGAGGGACCCUGUCAACACCCAUCUUUCUGACAAAUCAGUCAAAACAGCAGCAUAAUUUUCUCUUUUCUUUUCAGCUCUGAGCACAUUAAGUAGGUUUUUUGUUUAAAGUGUCAAACAUGUCAUUAAUAAUCAAUCUUGCAUUCUAUUUUUCAUGCCUGUUUCACGUCAUAUAUGAAUGAUAAUUAGUAUCUUUCAACUGUCACACAAAUGCUCAAGGCUGUACAAUGCCUCAUAUUAAAAAAAACCCCAAAACCCAGAUAUAUCAGAUAUUGAUAAAGUGUAUCUUUUGUCUUUGCUUGUAAUUACAUAAUAGGGAAGCAAGACAUACUGUACAUAAUAUAACAUAAUGCCUUAAAACGGCGUAAACCUUUACCGUAUAGUUUUUUAAUAGUUUUCAUCAGCAGCAUGUUUGUUAAUGUCUGUCUCAGCUCAUAUAUGAUGUUUAAUCAUAUUUGGUGAUGGUUAAGUAAUUUUUCCAUAGAAUGCUUAGAAUGCUUUUGUCCUGUUCCAUCUAAAGGUGGUAAUUAUGGAAGUUAUAGCUUGCCUACACAAAUAUACUUUUGGAGAGUGAGAUUAUUAUGUUUCUUCCAGUUGUUGGACAGAGAGUAACCCACUGAAUAUAAUCCAUGUUUUUACUGAUUUAAAAUUUUGGCAGCGAGUGUGCUCAUGUAUAAGCACCUUAAGGGAUUUUUUCAUACAAUCCUCCAGCUUCAUCUACAGUUAAGAUCAUAUUUGUCCAUUUGUUCAGAUAACCAAUGCUCUAGUCAACCACCCACUGUAGUAUUAAAGGUGGGGUAUGUGAUUCUAAUCCAAUACACGUCUUUUUGUCAAAUUCAGCGAAUAUCUGCUCACGGUCUGCUAGCUGUCCGUUCUCUAUGCACACUGAAAAAAAAUCUGUUGUUUGUACCCUGGCUCUAUAAAUGGGAAAUACACAAAAUGGCUUGGACUGAGCCACACAACACUAUUCCAGCCAUUCCUGCCAUGAUUUGUGUGUUAAAUGACAUUAAAUGACUUGCCCACGGACAUUCAGCUUACUUUCUAGUUUGACAAGAUAUGCUUUUGUUGUGAUGUUAGCUAUAGUACCAAGAGAGUUGUGAGUAUCGCUGUAUCGCUGACCCACAUUAACAUUAACAUAACAUUAAUAGCUGGUUAGUUGUUGUUGUUGGUAAUUGUAAUUGUGGGUGUGAGAUAACACUAUUGUUUACAUGGUUGUGUGGAAUUUUGUGUGUAUCUGUGAGUGAGAUGUGUACAGUAAAGGUGCAUAUAUAGUUAAUGGUUUAUACAUACUUUUAAUACGUAAUGUUGUUUGACGAUCAUGUUAUCUUACAUAUGUGACUGAAGAUAGUUGUUUCAGAGUAUUGUCUGAAACUGGUGCUUUCCUGGGCUCUUUUGAAGGAUGCUACUGAGCUGCCUAUGAUAAUUAGAGAGCUAUGACCUUCUCAUUAGAGCCAGGAGGCUGCUCGUUCUCUCGGGCCCUCCCUUCUAGCAUCAUGCAGCCUGCCACAGGACAAUCAGUAUAUCAAAGCAAAAAUAUUUGUUAAAGCCAAAAUUACAAAAACACACAGCACAACCUUUGAAUUACAGACCCUAAUAUAUGCAGAGUCAAAUGAAUAGCUGUGCUUACCCCCCCCCCGAUCCGUCCCAUCCGGCUUGCUUGUAGCUUAAAUUUUUUAUUACAAAUUUCCAGGGCUUCAAAGUAGCAUCUCAGAGCUAAUCCGUUUCUUUUCCUUUGACAAAGACAAAGACCUGUUUAAAAUUGUCCCUUUUGUUUGGACCUGCUUUCCUCCCUGUCUUUUACAUCUAAAUGUCAAAGAUUCUGGAUUAAAUAGAGUGGCACUCAUCUGGCGAGGCUGGCUGGAGAGAAUAAGAAGGGAUAAGAGGGGAGAGUAUGGCAGAGGGUGUUUAGAAACCCUUUAAUUAAUCUUCCACGUUGACUUUGUUUUAUUAUCUGAUGUACUGUAUGAGUCAUUAGCAUCUUGAUGUUCUCCAAAAAAUAGUAACACCUUUUUAAACUUCUGAUAUUACAUUCACAAGUUUAAUGGUAGAAUUAUGGCCUUGUGUGUGUGUUUGUUAGUGUGGGUGUGUGAAUUAAAUAAAAGUAAAGCUAGACAUGUAUUUUUUUAUUUUAAGUAUAACAGAAGAUUGGGGUAAACAAUGCUGAAAUUUUAACAUGUUGUCAUGUGAGGUCUCAGUAGGAAGAGAAGGGUUGUUUUUUAAUGAGUUUUAAUCCUGUCUAGACCCACUGUCACAGAAAGCUUUCCUGUUUCAUGUGCCGCAGCCAUUUUAGCAUGUUGUUGCUGGAUCAAGCUGAAAGAGGUUAAAAGCAGAAACCUGUACAUUAUCACUUAAACGUUUUAAAGUUUUGGAUAUUAUAGACAUCCCAGGCUCUUCAAGUCAAAACUCUGUAAUAGCUAGUCAUUGUGAUGAAUAAUUCUUUUGGACAGGAUAGAGUUAGCAACCAAUAUCCAUUAUAGCCCGACCAAGAUGCUGAUUUCGAUAUUUGGGAGUUUAAAAAAUCUGAUAGCUUUGGCUUUGCUCGUAAGCUGUUGAUUAAAGGUACCCUGUGGAGUUUUUGACCACUAGUAGUUCUAUGGAGCUGUAUUUUUGAGAGUGGGUCUCCAUUUUGUUUGCAUAGAGGACGAGGACGGGCAUGCAAGUGCAUGAGCACAUGGGGCAACACAAUACACAGUCCCGUUGGGUUUCACGCUAUUCCCCUGUUCGACAGUUCAUGGCGGUAACAUGCAAAGAAACGUAGCAAUGCUCUAAUAAAGGCAGUAAAGAGGAAGACUGCUAGCUAGUAAGCAUGGCUUUAAACAAUGCAGAAAUUAAAAUAUUAAGAAAAAAUCAGGCUUUAAGGAUAUACAGUUUCUUUUGCUGAGAAACACUGAAUGUAAAAAUAACUUUGUUUAUACGAGAACUCUGUAGUGCACCUUUUUAAACAAGUGAGAAGUGUGCGCUACCAAGGCGUGACUGCCCUCUGCUGGAAUUUUAAGAUGAGCACGACUGGUUUAUAUCAGUGUCUGCUCUGAUGAAGCUCUGACACAUUACUACUCUCAAAUGUUACAAAUCCAUUGAAAUUCAAAAUUAUAUCAAGAAAAAGCAAUGAGAAAAGAUAACAGUAUCCUUAGCAUUCAUGUAAUAGUAACAUUUAAUGUUAAGCAAUUCUGAAAAAUUUGUAAAUUUAUUAAAUCUGUGUGAAAUCAAAAUACAAUGUAAAAAUGUAGACAUUGCUCAAUCUUACAUCCUGAUGCAGUUUAUCAGGAGUCAGCUCACUGUUAUUCUGCAAGAUAAAUUGAAAUGUACUUCUAUACUCAUAACCCAUACCCGUAAUAAAACGCCAGUGGUAGAGUAAGUCACCUUGUUCAGAAGUCAUUAUUUAAAUGCUGAUAAUUACAUAAUUGUGCUGAUAAUUGGAAAGCUGUGAAAAAGUGCCAAUGUAAAUGUGUACUAAUGGCAUA